GGGUUAGUCGAUCCUAAGA
rnacentral:snRNA from 1 species